rnacentral:rRNA from 1 species
UACGAAGGGGGCUAGCGUUGUUCGGAUUUACUGGGCGUAAAGCGCACGUAGGCGGUUUGUUAAGUCAGAGGUGAAAUCCCGGAGCUCAACUCCGGAACUGCCUUUGAUACUGGCAAGCUAGAGUCCGGAAGAGGUAAGUGGAACUCCUAGUGUAGAGGUGGAAUUCGUAGAUAUUAGGAAGAACACCAGUGGCGAAGGCGGCUUA